ACGCUCGACACCUACGGGAGGCAGCAGUGAGGAAUAUUGGUCAAUGGGCGCUAGCCUGAACCAGCCAAGUAGCGUGAAGGAUGAAGGCUCUAUGGGUCGUAAACUUCUUUUAUAUAAGAAUAAAGUGCAGUAUGUAUACUGUUUUGUAUGUAUUAUAUGAAUAAGGAUCGGCUAACUCCGCGCCAGCAGCCGCGGUAAUCUGAGCGGGCUGGCAAGGC
rnacentral:rRNA from 1 species